rnacentral:sRNA from 1 species
AUCCUCUGAGGCGCAGGACGCGCUCGGAAUCAAGGAUGAUUGGCCAUGGCUAGGAUAGCUACCGACAGGAUGUCGGGAUGGUCAGGAAAAAACCCGCUUCGGCGGGUUUUUU